UAAAGUUUACGAAAACUUGCAUAAUUUGCAAGAGAUGUUAUACAAAUAAAUAUGGAAGAUUAUAUGGAAUGAAUUAAAUCUUAAUAUUAUAAGUAAUUAUAUUUUAUAGUCGUGCCAAAUAGAAAUGUUCAUAUUUUUAUAAAUGUAAUUACAUUUAGUAUUAUUAAUUUGUUUAAUUAGUUCGGACGGAAGGAACUUAAAGAGUUAUAUUUGGAAUAUAAAUUUUGGAGUAUUAAUAAUUGAUAUAAGGCGAUGAUUAAAGGCAUACUAAAUAGAUUAUGAAUUAUUUUGGAAUUAUUGAAUUGGAUUAUAUUUAAUUUGAGGUGAAUAUGUUUAGGUGAUGAAUAAUGUUUCGUAUUUCAUAUCGUUGGCAUUUGAGGGUAAGAUUUUGUGGAGUGUAUUAUAAAUGGUUUGGAAGUAUCAGGUACGGAUUCCGUACUCUUUCAGCGAUACCUUUGUUAAAUUUGAUUUGUUCGUUUGUUUCCUUAUUUCGAAUUCUAUUAUGAUUUCACAUAAUUAUUUCUUGUGAAAUAAAUAUAUUAGUUUCAUUUUAGAGUUGAUAUGUAUGACUCGUAUUUAUACUCUUUGAAUUAGGUUAUCAUGUUUAGUAUUAUUUAUUUUGAUAAUUGUAGAGCGGAACAUGUUGCUACCUUCCUUUUGAAACCUUGUGACUAUAAUUUGAUUCGGUUCAACAUGUACAUAUAGAACCCUUUUGUUGGUAUUAUGUCGCAUGUGUUGUGACAUGAUAUUUUUGUUAGAAUAUACCGUAGAGUAUACCUGAGUUAUAACCACCUGUGGGGGUACCACAGGCACGUCGUCUUGGCACGAGAGACGUGACACUUUCCGUGGCGGUGUGAUUAGUCCACGGCGUCUCCAUUUUGGGCUCCGGAGGAAGUGGGCCAUUUGGUGUUUUGUU
rnacentral:lncRNA from 1 species